rnacentral:sRNA from 1 species
UCGAGCUCCUUCUUCUUCUGUUCCAUUCCAAAA